rnacentral:rRNA from 1 species
GAUGAACGCUGGCGGCGUGCCUAAUACAUGCAAGUCGAGCGCAUCGGCCCAACUGAUUGAAGAUGCUUGCAUCCGAUUGACGAUGGUUUACCGAUGAGCGGCGGACGGGUGAGUAACACGUAGGUAACCUGCCCAGAAGCGGGGGAUAACACCUGGAAACAGAUGCUAAUACCGCAUAGGUCAUUUGACCGCAUGGUCAAAUGAUUAAAGAUGGCUCUGCUAUCACUUCUGGAUGGACCUGCGGCGUAUUAGCUAGUUGGUAAGGUAACGGCUUACCAAGGCGAUGAUACGUAGCCGAGUUGAGAGACUGAUCGGCCACAUUGGGACUGAGACACGGCCCAG